rnacentral:ncRNA from 2 species
UCUCAGCAUCAAGAGAGUGGGCUGACGCCCAUCGCCAACCUGCCUGCCCGGGCAAGGUGGUGCUUCCUUCGGUGACGGAGGGAGGAUGCGGCCGAACCGGCAACCAAACGGGACACA